rnacentral:rRNA from 1 species
CCUACGGGAGGCAGCAGUGAGGAAUAUUGGUCAAUGGGCGGAAGCCUGAACCAGCCAAGUAGCGUGCGGGAUGAAGGCCCUACGGGUCGUAAACCGCUUUUGCACGGGGAUAACACCCUCCACUUGUGGAGGUCUGCAGGUACCGUGCGAAUAAGGGCCGGCUAAUUCCGUGCCAGCAGCCGCGGUAAUACGGAAAGCCCGAGCGUUAUCCGGAUUCAUUGGGCUUAAAGGGAGCGUAGGCGGGCGUUCAAGUCAGCUGUAAAAGCGCGCGGCUCAACCGCGCCCCGCAGUUGAAACUGGACGCCUUGAGUUCACAACAGGCAGGCGGAAUUCGUGGUGUAGCGGUGAAAUGCGUAGAUAUCACGAGGAACCCCGAUUGCGAAGGCAGCCUGCCGGGGUGCGACUGACGCUGAGGCUCGAAGGUGCGGGUAUCAAACAGGAUUAGAUACCCGUGUAGUC